rnacentral:rRNA from 1 species
AGUGAACGCUGGCGGUAGGCCUAACACAUGCAAGUCGAACGGCAGCACAGUAAGAGCUUGCUCUUACGGGUGGCGAGUGGCGGACGGGUGAGGAAUACAUCGGAAUCUACUUUUUCGUGGGGGAUAACGUAGGGAAACUUACGCUAAUACCGCAUACGACCUACGGGUGAAAGCAGGGGAUCUUCGGACCUUGCGCGAUUGAAUGAGCCGAGGUCGGAUUAGCUAGUUGGCGGGGUAAAGGCCCACCGAGGCGACGCUCCGUGGCUGGUCGGAGAGGGUGAGCGGCGACACUGGAGCUGAGACACGGGCCAGGCGCCUACGGGAGGCAGCGGUGGGGAAUAUUGGGCGAUGGGCGCAAGCCUGAUCCAGCCAUACCGCGUGGGUGAAGAAGGCCUUCGGGUUGUAAAGCCCUUUUGUUGGGAAAGAAAAGCAGCAGGUUAAUACCCCGCUGUUCUGACGGUACCCAAAGAAUAAGCACCGGCUAACUUCGUG